rnacentral:rRNA from 1 species
UUCCGGUUGAUCCUGCCGGACCCGACUGCUAUCAGAGUGGGACUAAGCCAUGCGAGUCAACGUAGAAAUACGUGGCGAACGGCUCAGUAACACGUAGUCAACAUGCCCAGAGGACGUGGAUAACCUCGGGAAACUGAGGAUAAACCGCGAUAGGCCAUGAUUUCUGGAAUGGUUUAUGGCUGAAAUCUAUAUGGCCUCUGGAUUGGACUGCGGCCGAUCAGGCUGUUGGUGAGGUAAUGGCCCACCAAACCUAUAACCGGUACGGGCUCUGAGAGGAGGAGCCCGGAGAUGGGCACUGAGACAAGGGCCCAGGCCCUAUGGGGCGCAGCAGGCGCGAAAUCUCUGCAAUAGGCGAAAGCUUGACAGGGUUACUCUGAGUGAUUCCCGCUAAGGGGAUCUUUUGGCACCUCUAAAAAUGGUGCAGAAUAAGGGGUGGGCAAGUCUGGUGUCAGCCGCCGCGGUAAUACCAGCACCCCGAGUGGUCGGGACGAUUAUUGGGCCUAAAGCAUCCGUAGCCGGUACUGCAAGUCUUCCGUUAAAUCCACCUGCUCAACAGUUGGGCUGCGGAGGAUACUACAGCGCUAGGAGGCGGGAGAGGCAAGCGGUACUCAGUGGGUAGGGGUAAAAUCCACUGAUCCAUUGAAGACCACCAGUGGCGAAGGCGGCUUGCCAGAACGCGCUCGACGGUGAGGGAUGAAAGCUGGGGGAGCAAACCGGAUUAGAUACCCGGGUAGUCCCAGCUGUAAACGAUGCAGACUCGGUGAUGGGCUGGCCUUGUGCCAACCCAGUGCCGCAGGGAAGCCGUUAAGUCUGCCGCCUGGGGAGUACGGUCGCAAGACUGAAACUUAAAGGAA